UUGGGGGGUCGAGAUAUCCGGUUUUGUGGUUUAGGGUUACGGAUUAGAUUUCGAUCACUCUUUAAGGGUCAUGAAGUGAACUUAUUCCUGUAGGAAACUAUGUUGGAAAAAGUACACCGAAGGUCCCUCAACUUGUCAACGAGUUACAAAAUCGUCCCCUAACCGCAAAACCAGAUAUCCAACGUCCCUUAACUAACCAA
rnacentral:misc_RNA from 1 species